CACCCGGAACUCUAGCUGGCCGGCAAGCGCCGCGCGCAGCUCCAGUUCCUUUCCGUGCCUCUCCCUCCACACCUCCCAGCAGGCUGAGGGAGCCGGCUCCGGCCUCAACCAGCCCAGAGAGGGGCCCCGACAGCGCAGAGGCGGGCUGAAGGGCUCCCUGAGCAUGGCCAGAGCGGACGCCGAGGCCGAGGAGGCACCAAGAGCAAGCGAGGGCUGCCAGCAGCUGUCACCUCUCUCUGGGAUUACAGGAAGUCACAGAAGGAUGGGAAGAAAUAAGAAGUCACUGGGGUCCCAGGUGACUCAGAGAUUGCCCAGACCUCUGACCAGCUCUCAGACAACACUUUGGUCAGUCUCGGACUCUGCUAAAAAUUUGCAUGAAAACAUUGCUGUCCACAGUGGGAUGAGACCAUCAAGAGACACAUGAGAAAGAGGUUGGUGUAAUGGAGAGUUGUAGAGAUGGAGCAACUUGGAGAUUUUCACCUGAAACAUUUAACAUUUAGGUGCAGGUAAGAUGGGGCCGGGCGCAGUAGCUCACGCCUGUAAUCCCAGCACUUUGGGGGACCAAGGGGGGCAGAUCACGAGGUCAAGAGACUGAGACCAUCCUGGCCAACAUGGUGAAGCCCCGUCUCUACUAAAAAUACAAAAAUUAGCUGAGCGUGGUGACAUGCACCUGUUAUCCCAGCUACUUGGGAGGCUGAGGCAGAAGAAUCACUUGAACCUGGGUGGUGGAGGUUGCAGCAGUGAGCUGAGAUGGCGCCACUGCUCUCCAGCCUGGUGAUAGAGCGAGAAUCCAUCUCAAAAAAAAAAAAAAAAAAAAAAAAAAAAGAUGGACUGAGGAGUAGAGGCAAAGUCUCGUUGCCAUAGAGAGAAAAGGCCAAACCACCAUAUUGUCAUUCAUUCAUUGAUUCAUUUGUUCAAACAAUCACUUACUAAAUAAAUAUUUAUUGCAUAUUAUGGACUGAAUUGUUUGUCUCUCUAAAUUCAUAUGUUGAAUCCUAACACUGAGUGUCUCAGAGUGGAGACAGGGUCUUUAAAGAGGUAAUUAAAUUAAAAUGAGACCUUUAGGGUGGGCCAUAAUCCAAUAUGACUGGUCUCCUUAGAAGAAGAGGCGAUUAGGACACAGACACGCACAGAGGGAAGACCAUGUGGGAACACAGGGAGAAAAUGCUAUCUACAAGCCAAGCAGAGAGGCCUUAAUAAACCAGCCCUGCUGACACCUGGAUCUUGGACUUCCAGCCUCUAGAACUAAAUAAA
rnacentral:lncRNA from 1 species